AAAGCCCACAAAUUGACAUUAUUAGUUUGUUUAGAAAUGUUAUAAUUGUCUUUCUUUAAUGCCCGCGGUGAUUUGAGUUGUUACAUGUGAAUGACGUCUUCGGAGCUACCGUGCCUGUGUGCGGGUGAAAUGUUCUACUUCCUGUUUUACUUUAUGAGGGUGGAUGAGAUCACAGCGCUCGUCCUCCUGUUUUUCCCUCAACAUUGCCUUUACUUUACGGCUGUUUAGUGCUGUGCGUAACUACAUAAAGGGGCGUGGGUGUGGCCUUGGGGUGGCCAGGGCCAGGGUUUGUCUGACAUGACUGGGCCCCAGGAUAAAGAAGUUUGAGAAAGGCUGCUAUACAGUCUAUGGAUCGAAGGCGUCUACAUUUCUCCGCAGGACAGUAAGGUUAGGUAAGUUGACACCAAGUGAAUAAUUCUGAAUAUUCAUAUUUGUGUUCUUGUGUUAAUUUUUACAACCAAACUAAAAACACUAACGUUAGCAGGUAGAAUAUUUGUGACGUAGGGUUUACAUUAAGUUUAUCUAACUAGCUAUAUUUAUGGUAAAGUUAUUGCAGAUUUUCUUUGGUUUUUUUUAUCUUGUAAGGUUAAAACUGUUGUUGUAGUGGUAACUUCAGCCGUAGUCAAUCAGAUUAAUGUUAUUCGGUCAGUGUUUCCUAUUUACAGGAUGCUUUUUGGAUAAAUAUUACUGCUGCAUUAAUGUGUAUGUUGCAUUUUACAUCUGUACAUCAUAAUGGUUAAACAUUGGGAACAUGGGGAACACUCCUGAAGGCCAAAGUGAUAGAGCAAGCCAAAAACCUCAGCAAGACACCCCAGCUUGAUUACAUCAUCCAGUGUGCAGAGGACAACCCUGAUGAAGAUGAAGAGGUCCCAGGACUAUCGUUUGGUGUAUUUGAUGCUGAAAGCAGGUGCUCUCCACCCUUCUUCUGAGGUUGGGACAGCGACAUGGCCUCACUGCUACUGCUGCUCUACCUUCUGCCACUGCCACGAACUCGAAAUAAGGGAGCUGUGAAGAUCAGUGUCCCGGAAGCUGUGGACCGUGUAGUCAAUUUUCAUAGGGUUGAUGUGUCCUGAUUUCCAUUUUUAUCCAUUAGCCGAUAGGCAAUAGUGUAACCCACACUCCAAAAACAAACAUUUUGGCCAAAUACCAUGCCUUCCACUCCAAACAAAGGAACUAUACAGGUGGAUUGUCUCACAGGUAGUCACAUGACUGUUCAACAUACAAACUGAAUAGAGUAAAAUUCAGGGAGGGAAUACCUGAAAUAAUGCAUAUAGGCAAAGUCCCCCUCCACUCAAAAACAUGUUUUUCUUUUCGUUUGAGCUUCACUGUACAGAAUGUUGUAUGGGCAGAUUUUCCAUGCUUGUUGAAAAUUUGAUUUUAAGAUGUGGGCCUACAAGCAUGAUGUGUGACACCACAAAUAGUUUGGCAUCCAAUCCUGGUCUAAUAUUCAACCUAUCUGUGUGUGAUCUGGAAAAUUGAAGCCUCCAGUGCACAGUGAGAAUGGACUUUACAGUGAAGUAGGAGAGAUCUUGUGUCCAGCAGUGAAUCUAAUGAGAUGAAAAAGAUGUGCAAAUGUAUAUAUUCAGGAAUCUUUAAUCGGGGGAAAGGAACCAAUGUCAUUUUAAGGAUUUUAACAAGUUAAUUUAACUUUUUUUGUGUGUGGGACAAACUAUAUCACAAAAAUUAUUAUUCAGAGUUCAGUAUUUGAUGUGCAUCUUAAAAGAUGUCCAGGUCAUUGUUAUUUUCAGUUGUGUGUUUGUUUAGGAGUUUGCAGGGACAUGUGAUAUGGUAGAUAACAGAGACCAUCUCUUUGAUGUUUUAUUCUCGUUGUGUGACUGUGCUACAAAAACAUUCAUUGUACAUCUCAGGCUGAACAGAACCUGCAUAGAAAAGCACCAACUGUGCUAUCAAAGGUUUUUGUCAGAGUCUGACCUAUCCAUCAAAAUGUGAUGUACAGUAUAGUUAUAUUUUUGUUUAUUGUUAGCUUACAGUCAUGUCGCAGCCUUCAGGAGUACUCUGGUCCAGAUCUGCGGAGGCAACCCUACAUCCUAGCAGUUGGGACCACAAGAAACAGCAUCCAUGAGUACUACAUUGCGUUGGAUGGUGAGCUCCUUCCCUGCAAGGCCAAGUCUUCCCUGUCAGCUUUUCAUGAACCUUUUAAAGCACAUUAUGGGUUUCGGAUCUCCUAUGACCAGGCCUUAAACGCCAUGUACACAUUUGUGCAAACCACCAUCUACAACAUUGAUGUGGGUCUUUCUCACAAAACUCCCAGAGUCAAAGACCUUAGGGCUAAGCUCCUCAACUGAUGUUAAGAUGCUUUGGUUGCAAGUCCACUUUUUGUCACCAUUCAACAGUUGGUCCGUCAUCUCAAGCUUUCACAUGCAUUUUAUCCUGAUAAGAAGUUUCAAUUGUUGUGUUACCAGAAUGGAUGCCACCAGAGAUUUUGCACUUUUUCAGGCUUCAAGAAACAUCUCUAUAGCAAACAUAGCGCUGAUAGUGAUGAGGUCUAAUGAGCAAAUGUUCAAAUGCUCACCUAUGACCAAUGUAUUUUGUGGGUUGGUUGAGGUUGCUACUGAUUAGAUGUUAUCUAGGUAAAACUAUUUUUUGAAAAUAAACGCAUGUUUUCAAGAA